GCCGCGUGAGUGAAGAAGGCCUUCGGGUUGUAAAGCUCUUUCGCGAGGGAAGAAAAGGUACGGGUUAAUACCCUGUGCCGAUGACGGUACCUUGAUAAGAAGCACCGGCUAACUACGUGCCAGCAGCCGCGGUAAUACGUAGGGUGCGAGCGUUAAUCGGAAUUACUGGGCGUAAAGCGUGCGCAGGCGGUUUUGUAAGUCAGAUGUGAAAUCCCCGGGCUCAACCUGGGAACUGCAUUUGAGACUGCAAGGCUAGAGUUUGGCAGAGGGGGGUGGAAUUCCACGUGUAGCAGUGAAAUGCGUAGAGAUGUGGAGGAACACCGAUGGCGAAGGCAGCCCCCUGGGCCAAUACUGACGCUCAUGCACGAAAGCGUGGGGAGCAAACAGGAUUAGAUACCCUGGUAGUCCACGCCCUAAACGAUGUCAACUAGGUGUUGGGAGGGUUAAACCUCUUAGUGCCGUAGCUAACGCGUGAAGUUGACCGCCUGGGGAGUACGGCCG
rnacentral:rRNA from 1 species